CCGACACAGGUGGGGUGGUAGAGAAUACCGAGGGGCGCGAGGUAACUCUCUCUAAGGAACUCGGCAAAAUGGCCCCGUAACUUCGGGAGAAGGGGUGCCAGCGAGAGCUGGUCGCAGUGAAGAGGCCCAGGCGACUGUUUACCAAAAACACCGGUCUCCGCUAAGUCGCAAGACGAUGUAUGGGGGCUGACGCCUGCCCAGUGCCGGAAGGUUAAGGAAGCUGGUCAGCGCAAGCGAAGCUAGCGACUGUAGCCCCGGUGAACGGCGGCCGUAACUAUAACGGUCCUAUGGUAGCGAAAUUCCUUGUCGGGUAAGUUCCGACCCGCACGAAAGGCGUAACGAUCUGGGCGCUGUCUCGGAGAGAGGCUCGGCGAAAUAGAAUUGUCUGUGAAGAUGCGGACUACGUGCACCCGGACAGAAAGACCCUAUGAAGCUUUACUGUAGCUUGGUAUUGUGCUCGGGCUCGGAAUGCGCAGGAUAGGUGGGAGGCUUGGAUCCAUUGCUUGCGGGUGAUGGUGAGCCACUGGUGAGAUACCACUCUUUCCGAGCUAGAGUUCUAACCCUCGCCCGUUAUCCGGGGAGGGGACAGUAUCAGGUGGGCAGUUUGACUGGGGCGGUCGCCUCCUAAAAGGUAACGGAGGCGUGCAAAGGUUCCCUCAGGCUGGUUGGAAAUCAGCCGACGAGUGCAAAGGCAGAAGGGAGCUUGACUGUGAGACCUACAAGUCGAACAGGGACGAAAGUCGGCCUUAGUGAUCCGACGGUUCUGCGUGGAAGGGCCGUCGCUCAACGGAUAAAAGUUACUCUAGGAUAACAGGCUGAUCUCCCCCAAGAGUUCACAUCGACGGGGAGGUUUGGCACCUCGAUGUCGGCUCAUCGCAACCUGGGGCUGAAGUCGGUCCCAAGGGUUGGGCUGUUCGCCCAUUAAAGCGGUACGCGAGCUGGGUUCAGAACGUCGUGAGACAGUUCGGUCCAUAUCCGGUGCACGCGCAGGAAUAUUGAGAGGAUUUCUCCCUAGUACGAGAGGACCGGGAGGAACGCACCUCUGGUGUGCCAGUUAUCGUGCCAACGGUAAACGCUGGGUAGCCAUGUGCGGAGAGGAUAACCGCUGAAAGCAUCUAAGUGGGAAGCCCACCUCAAGAUGAGUAUUCCCAUGGCAAAAGCCAGUAAGGUCACGGGAAGAUUACCCGUUGAUAGGCUCUACGUGGAAGCGCAGCAAUGCGUGAAGCGGAGGAGUACUAAUAGACC
rnacentral:rRNA from 1 species